UACGGAGGGGGCUAGCGUUAUUCGGAAUUAUUGGGCGUAAAGGGCGCGUAGGCGGCCCGGUAAGUCAAAGGUGAAAUCCCUCGGCUCAACUGAGGAACUGCCUUUGAAACUGUCGGGUUUGAGGCCGGGAGGGGGUAGCGGAAUUCCCAGUGUAGCGGUGAAAUUCGUAGAUAUUCGGAAGAACACCAGUGGCGAAGGCGGCUCACUGGACCGGCAUUGACGCUGAGGUGCGAAAGCGUGGGGAGCAAACAGG
rnacentral:rRNA from 1 species